rnacentral:tRNA from 1 species
UCCUACUUAUCUCAGAGGUUAGAGCAUCGCACUUGUAAUGUGAUGGUCAUCGGUUCGAUCCCGAUAGCUGGCU